rnacentral:rRNA from 1 species
ACUGCUCAGUAACACGUGGCUAAUCUGCCCUUGGGACCGGAACACCCCCGGGAAACUGGGGCUAAUUCUCGAUAGGUGAAGAACUCUGGAAUGAGUCUUCGCCAAAAAGACGUUUACGUUAUGCUCGUAGGCGUCGCCCAAGGAUGAGGCCGCGACCGAUCAGGUUGUUGGUGAGGUAAUGGCUCACCAAGCCUUUUACCGGUGCGGGCCGUGAGAGCGGGAGCCCGGAGAUGGGCACUGAGACAAGGGCCCAGGCCCUACGGGGCGCAGCAGUCGCGAAAACUUUGCAAUACACGAAAGUGUGACAGGGCUAUCCCGAGUGCCAUCCGCUGAGGAAGGCUUUUACCCAGUCUAGAACGCUGGGGGAAUAAGGAGAGGGCAAGUCUGGUGUCAGCCGCCGCGGUAAUACCAGCUCUCCGAGUGGUGUGGAUGUUUAUUGGGCCUAAAGCAUCCGUAGCUGGCUAAGUUAGUCCCUUGUUAAAUCCACCGAAUUAAUCGUUGGAUUGCGGGGGAUACUGCUUGGCUAGGGGACGAGAGAGGCAGACGGUAUUUCCGGGGUAGGGGUGAAAUCCUAUAAUCCCGGGAAGACCACCAGUGGCGAAGGCUGUCUGCUAGAACGCGCCCGACGGUGAGGGAUGAAAGCUGGGGGAGCGAACCGGAUUAGAUACCCGGGUAGUCCCAGCUGUAAACGAUGCAGGCUAGGUGUUUGGACGGCCACGUGCCGUUCUAGUGCCGCAGGGAAGCUGUUAAGCCUGCCGCCUGGGGAGUACGAUCGCAAGAUUGAAACUUAAAGGAAUUGGCGGGGGAGCA